CAGUCAACGACCUAACUUCGGUUAGGUAGUGGCAAACGGGUUAGUAACACCCGGUUAAUCAACCUCGUUCCCGGGCCUUGUACACACCGACUCCGAGAAAUCGGAAUUAAUACCCCAUAGAAUUAAUGAGUGGCAUCACUACAUUGAUUAAAGUUCCGGCGGUUAAAGAUGGGCAUGCGUGCCAUUAGCUAGUUGGAGAGGUAACGGCUCACCAAGGCAACGAUGGCUAGGGGUUCUGAGAGGAUUAUCCCCCACACUGGUACUGAGACACGGACCAGACUCCUACGGGAGGCAGCAGUAAGGAAUAUUGGGCAAUGGACGCAAGUCUGACCCAGCCAUGCCGCGUGCAGGAAGACAGCCUUAUGGGUUGUAAACUGCCUUUGUCAGGGAAUAAACCCCCGGUCGUGCACCGGGGCUGAAGGUACCUGAAGAAUAAGCACCGGCUAACUCCGUGCCAGCAGCCGCGGUAAUACGGAGGGUGCAAGCGUUAUCCGGAUUUAUUGGGUUUAAAGGGUGCGCAGGCGGGUUUGUAAGUCAGCGGUGAAAUCCCACGGCUCAACCGUGGAACUGCCAUUGAUACUGCAGGCCUUGAGUGUAUUUGAAGUGGGCGGAAUGUAGCAUGUAGCGGUGAAAUGCAUAGAUAUGCUACAGAACACCAAUUGCGAAGGCAGCUCACUAAACUACAACUGACGCUCAUGCACGAAAGCGUGAGGAUCAAACAGGAUUAGAUACCCUGGUAGUCCACGCUGUAAACGAUGAUUACUCGUUGUUGGCGAUAUACCGUCAGCGACCAAGCGAAAGUGAUAAGUAAUCCACCUGGGGAGUACGAUCGCAAGGUUGAAACUCAAAGGAAUUGACAGGGGCCCGCACAAGCGGUGGAGCAUGUGGUUUAAUUCGAUGAUACGCGAGGAAACCUUACCUGGGCUCAAAUGUAAGUUGACAGAUUCUGAAAGGGGAUUCUUCUUCGGACAUUUACAGGUGCUGCAUGCUGUCGUCAGCUCGUGCCGUGAGGUGUCGGG
rnacentral:rRNA from 1 species